rnacentral:rRNA from 1 species
AGAAUCAACGCUGGCGGCGUGCCUAACACAUGCAAGUCGCACGAGAAAGUGGAGCAAUCCACGAGUAAAGUGGCGCACGGGUGAGUAACACGUGAAUGAUCUACCUCCGAGUGGGGAAUAACUGAGAGAAAUCUUAGCUAAUACCGCAUAACACUCACGAGUCAAAGCAGCAAUGCGCUUGGAGAGGAGUUCGCGGCCGAUUAGCUAGUUGGCGGGGUAAUGGCCCACCAAGGCGAUGAUCGGUA